rnacentral:lncRNA from 1 species
UUUUCCUAUGAUAAAUUUAUCUAUCAAAAUAAACGCACCCUUAAUAGUAAAAUACUAAGUUCUUGUUUGCAUCAAAUAAAAGAAUUAAAAGGAAAUAAAAGGGAUGAACAAUAAUAAUAACCGUUACUUUUAUUAAAUGUUUGGUUCAACAAUGAAAACGAAUCACUAAUAAGAAAUUUCCUUUCUUUUAUUUUUUCUUUAUUUUGAUGAAUGACAAAUUAGGUAAUUGAGUUACCCUCAGAUAAUUCGGAUACAAAGAUGACUUAAUACAAUACUUGAAUUUUGGAUAGUGAUGAUGCUAUAUAGUUUGAUUUCUCAUCUUUAAAAUACUCCUCAUCCGUCCCACUUCAAAUGACCUAAAAAAAUUAGACACGGAAAUUAAGAAAUAUGUAAUAAAGAUGUAAAGUGGUGAUGGGACAACUAAAAAAAUAAUGUUAAAUAUUCAAUUUUAUUUCUAAAUUUAGAUUGAUUCAUUUGAAGUAGGACAACCCAAAAUAAAAAUUGGAUCAUUUGAAAUGAAAUGGAGGAAGUACAAUUUACAAGUUUGUUAUUAUAGAUUAUUAUGGGGAGAUAUCUGGUCAGAUUUGCAGUCUAGAGAAGUCAAGGAUUUUCUAUUCAGAGAAGGUUACUCAUGGGAUGCGUAGGGGCAUUGAUCGUGUGCUUGGCUUUGUUACUGGGUGUAUGCCGGUAACGUAUUUGGGGUGCUCCGUUGUUUGCGGGCUGCCCAAGAGCUCCUUAUUCCAGGGACAUCAAGAACAGAAUUGUUCAGAAGUUCUCAAAAUGGAAGGGUAAUCAGCUUUCGAUGGCGGGUCGUCUCUGCUUGGUGAAAUCUGUAAUUCAGAGCUCUAUCAUUCACUCCAUGAUGGUCUUUAGAUGGCCUAAGGCGUUACUUAAGGAGCUGGACAGGUGCUGUCGCAAUUUUAAAUGGUCUGGUCAAAUUGAUAAACUACCGUCUUGUGCUGUGAGCUGGAGUCGUUGUAUUGCAAUUAAAAAGGAAGGCGGGUUGGGCAUUCUUUCUUUCACCAAUAUGAACAAAAGUUACCUGAUGAAACUCGCUUGGAGGCUGGUGAAGGGGAUCGAUUUUGGGCCUGCUAUUCUUCGUUCUCGAUAUCUCAAUGACUUUGGCUGUGCUAAGCCAAAUGUCACUAGUUUCUCGGUGUGGAUUGGUUUGAAAGAGGAAAUUAAUGCCCUUAUAUAGGAUUCUUACUCGCUGGUGGGCAGUGGAGAGCACACCCGUUUCUGGAUUGAUGAUUGGCUUGGUUACAAAAUUUGUGACAAUAUGGCCAUUCCUGCAUUUAUGCAUGAGUUCUUGCAGCACUCGGUUGCGGAUUAUUUCUAUGAUGGUGUUUGGCAUUUCUCGGCAAAUUUCGUCUCUAGCUUCCCUAUUUAGCUUGUGAUAUUCUCAUUUAUCCCAUUGGGCUGGAGGAGGACGCGCAUUUCUGGAAGCCGUCUAUUAAAGGUGAUGUAACUGCUGCUUUGGCCUUCUCUAAGAAUGGUCAUCGUUUUCCCAAGGUCAGUUGGGGUACUUGGAUUUGGGAAAACUUCAUUCCGGUCUGGCAUUCGAUUGUUAGUUGGCGUAUUCUCCAUAAUAGAUUGCCCACUAUGGAUCGUCUCAGGAGGCAAGGAUUUAUUGGUCCUAAUAUCUGUUGUGUGUGCAUGGCUGCAGAUGAGUCCCAAGAUCACACUCUUUGGUUGUGCCUUGAGGUCUCUAUGAUUUGGAAAGAGUUAUUAGAUUGGUUCGGCAAGCUUCAUCUUUUAAAUGCCUUGGAUCUCCAUAGCUUUCUUGUGCAAGUUUGGAAUGUUGAUUUUAAUCCGCUAUUGCGGAACUAUUGGAAGGUGGGAAUUAUCACGCUAUUGUGGUUGAUUUGGAAGGCUAGAAAUGAGAUUGUCUUCGAUAACAGAAGGUUUGAGGCUCGAGGCAUCAUCAAGCAGUUGAAGGUGGCCUUCAAAGAAGUGGACAGUUCUUUUUCAAAGUUAGGUCAUAUGUAUAACAUUUGGAGUGACUACACGACUUUGAGGGUGAUCGGGGUUGCUACUCGCUCGGCGCCGCCGCCGGAGUUCAUAAAUGUUCAUUGGUGGCCUCCUGCUUCGGGAUGGAUUAAGGUUAACACGGAUAGCUCUGCGCUGGGGUCUCCUGGCAGCAUUGGCGCGGGUGCGGUGUUUCGUGAUUGUAUGGGUACGGUUCGAGGUUGUUUUCAUGUGAAAGGCGAAGAUGGAUACGCUUUCGAAGCUGAGUUGCUUGCUAUUAUCACUGCGAUUGAUAUCGCUCACGCGAAAGGUUGGUGAGAUUUAUGGAUUGAAGCGGAUUCUAUCUAUGUUGUCAAGCUAGUGGAAGUCGUUCCUUGGACGUGCCUUGCACUAUCGGUUUUUUGGAAAGCCACUCUUCUCCAUCUGGCUGACAUGCAAUUCAAGUUUGUCACAUCUACCGUGAAGUAAUGUUGCAGCGGACAUUAUGGCGAAUCAAGCUAGAAGUGAAGGUUGGUGGUCAUAUGCUAUUGAUGAGAUUCAACGAGCGGUGGUGGAGGAUCUUUCUUCUCAUAGUUUUAUUCGCCAAUGCUAGAAGUGUGCGGUUUAGUGACGCCGAGGUUUUUUCCAACUUGCUGGUGCGCUGGCAGUUAGGCCUUAGGGGUCGGGUAACGUUGGUUGCUCUGUAACUUAUCUUCGUUUGGAUAGGUUGGCGUUGAGUUUUUGGAGUCUGCUUUUUCUCGGCAGAUUGCAUGGGAUCCUUUGCGAUCCUGGUAAAGUGGGCUGGUCGGAUCAGUGUUGAGCCCAGCCCCUUUGGCGCGCUUUGCUCGGCCCGCUUCUUGGGCCGUUUUCUUUCUUGGUUCGUGCGACUAGGGACGGCGUAGUAUUUUGAGGGCCGAUGGUCAGGUCGGAGCUCUUUGGGAUAUUAUGCUGUUCUUAGUCGUUUUGGGUGUCGGUCUUGGGGCGAUGGUUAGUCCGGAGCUCUUGGAUUCGGUGCCCUUUUUGUUGCCUCUUAGACGGGCACUCUUUUUCCUCUGCAAGGUUUUUCCCUUUGGGUUUUCUUUGCAGAGGUUUUAACGAGGUUCAGCCCUUAGUUUGCUUCACUUUGUGCUCUAAAGGGUUUUCUUAGGUUUUUUUUCUCUUUUUCUUAAUAUAUAAUCGUAUUUAAUCAAUUAGUCUCAUCAUGUUUUUAAUCAAUUAUUCUUAGUCAAUUUAAGCAUUUAAUAUAUAAAUCACAAAGUCCCAAUUUUAGCAAACUAACUUCUUUGAAAAUCUUUAAUCAUGCUUAAAUCACCAAUCAAACUUUAAAAUUAUCAAAUUAGAUCACUUAAUUACACAAAUAACUCAUCACUUAACAAAUUGAAGCAUAGAAGCAAAUAUACCUAAUUCUCAUCUAACUAACUCACAUCCAAAUUCAUCAAUCCAUCUCAAUCAUCAAUUUAAUCCAUCAAACAUCACAUUAGCAACCUCAUAAGCUCAUAUCCAUCAUCAACUCAUCAUUAAAUCCACAAAUUCAAAAAUCCCCAAAAAUAGCUAAACUAAACUAACUCAAAAUCCAUAAUUCAUUUUAAAUCCAUUCUUUACACAUGGAAAUGAUCUCAAUAGACCCCAAAUAGCAUAAAUAUCACUCCAAUUCAAGAAAAGGAAGAGAAAAAUUUUUGAAGGGUAAAACCCUAUUUUUUUCGAAAAUUAUAAAAAAAAAAAAAAAAAAAGAUGUUUUCUUGCUUGAUCUAUCCAUAUACGCUCAUGUAUAGCUCAAAUAAGUCUAGAUCUAGAAGGAUUUUACACUUACUCAAGAGUUUGAUUGAAAAUUAAAAAUCUCCUUUGAACUCAAUCUUGGGAAACUCCUCCAAUCUCUUCUUGAUUCAAAGAAAAUGAGGUUUAAACAUGAUUUUAGUGGUAAUCUAUGGUGUAGAUUUGAUCAUAAAAGCUUGGAAAUUGUCUAACAAUGGUGGAAGAAAGAGAAAAGAGAGAGAGAAGAGAGAGUGGUGAGAGGCGUGAGGUUUGGGGAGGAGGAAAGAGAAAAAAAAUUAUUUUAUUUAAGU